AUUGAACGCUGGCGGCAGGCCUAACACAUGCAAGUCGAGCGGAGCGGCAGACGGGUGCGUAAUGCCUAGGACUCUGCCUGGUCGUGGGGGAUAACGUCCGCAAAAGGGCGCUAAUACCACAUCCUCUACGAAGAGGCUAGGUCGGAUUAGCUAGUUGGUGGGGUAAAGGCCUACCAAGGCGACGAUCCCUAACUGGUCUGAGAGGAUGAGCAGUCACACUGGAACUGAGACACGGUCCAGACUCCUACGGGAGGCAGCAGUGGGGAAUAUUGGACAAUGGGCGAAAGCCUGAUCCAGCCAUGCCGCGUGUGUGAAGAAGGUCUUCGGAUUGUAAAGCACUUUAAGUUGGGAGGCGUUACCAACAGAAUAAGCACCGGCUAACUUCGUGCCAGCAGCCGCGGUAAUUC
rnacentral:rRNA from 1 species